rnacentral:rRNA from 1 species
AUUGAACGCUGGCGGAAUGCUUUACACAUGCAAGUCGAACGGUAGAGGGGGGCAACCCCCUUGAGAGUGGGCGAACGGGUGAGUAAUAUAUCGGAACGUGCCCAGUCGUGGGGAUAACGUAGGCGAAAGUUACGCUAAUACCGCAUACGAUCUAAGGAUGAAAGCGGGGGACUCGCAAGAGCCUCGCGCGAUUGGAGCGGCCGAUAUCAGAUUAGGUAGUUGGUGGGGUAAAGGCUCACCAAGCCAACGAUCUGUAGCUGGUCUGAGAGGACGACCAGCCACACUGGAACUGAGACACGGUCCAGACUCCUACGGGAGGCAGCAGUGGGGAAUUUUGGACGAAUGGACGCAAGUCUGAUCAGCCAUUCCGCGUGUAGGAUGGACGGUCCUAUGGAUUGUAAACUGCUUUUAUACAGG